GAGGACGCCCCCCUUGUCCGCGACCCGUCCCCCUCCUCCUCCCGCCACCCCUCCCGCGCCUCCGCCUCCGCCGUCGGCGAGGUGCCCGUCUCGCAGUCGCUCAUCAAGGCGGCCAGCAACGUGUGCUUCUCCUUCUUCGUGCUCGCCGUGCUCGCCGUCACCGUCGUCGCCGUCACCUACCAGCCGCCCGACCCCUGGCUCCAGUCCUCCGCCGCCAUCACCACCUCCCUCGCCCGCGUCCUCCCCAACUCCUCCUUCCUCCAGCCCGACGACUCGCUCCUCCCCACUGGCGAGGACUUCCCCUCCCCCUCCGCUGCCCCCGGCGCCGCCGCCGCCGCCCAGCGCGACGCCGCCGACCAGGCCCUCACCUCGGCGGGCGGCAACGCCACCGCGGGGACCUGCGACCCGGACGCCCCGCUCAACUGCACCGACCCGCGCGUGCUCGCCGCCGUCAAGGCCUUCAACGCCAAGGCCUUCUUCCGCAGGUCCAUCGUCUUCCUCAGCUACGAGGCGCCCGUGCGCGGCCCCAAGCCCGGCCAGUGCGACGUGGCCUGGCGCUUCCGGAACCGCCGCGAGAAGUCCUGGCGCCGGUACAGGGACUACCGCCGCUUCGAGCUCACCCCCGGCGACGGAUGCGCGCUCGACAUCACCAAGGUCGGCAAGUUCAGGUCCGGGAAGAACGCGGCUCGCCCGCCCCGCCCCAAGGGUCCCAAGAAACCGCGCGUCGCGGCGCCGCCGGUGGAUGCGGAGAUCAACGACACGAUCCCCCUCGUCGGGUCGGAGGCAGAGUUCAGGAGAGGCAAGUACCUCUACUACAUGAGAGGCGGUGACCACUGCAAGAGCAUGAACCAGUUCAUUUGGAGCUUCCUGUGCGGGCUCGGCGAGGCCAAGUUCCUGAACCGGACGUUCGUGAUGGAUUUGAACAUGUGCUUGUCCGGGGCUCACACAGAGGACGGCAAGGAUGUGGAUGGCAAGGACUUUAGGUACUAUUUUGAUUUCGAGCACCUCAAGGAGUCGGUGUCUCUGGUGGAGGAAGGGAAUUUCUUGAAGGAUUGGCGGCGCUGGGACAAGAAGAAGGGCCCGGGCCGGAUCUCGGUGCGCAAGGUGCCCACAUACAAGGUGACCCCAAUGCAGCUGAAGAGGGACAAGAGCAACAUCAUUUGGAGGCAGUUUGAUGGGCAUGAGCCCGAGAACUACUGGUACAGGGUCUGCGAGGGGCGAGCUGCCAAGGUCAUCCAGAGGCCUUGGUAUGCCAUUUGGAAGUCCAAGAGGCUGAUGAACAUUGUAACUGAGAUUGCAGGCAGGAUGGAUUGGGACUACGAUGGUUUGCAUGUGGUCCGAGGGUGGAAGGCAAUGAACAAGAAGAUGUAUCCGAACUUGGACGCGGACACAUCACCCGACGCGAUCGUAGAUAAGGUGACCAAGCUUAUCAAGCCGUGGCGGAACCUCUACAUCGCAACCAAUGAGCCAUUCUACAACUACUUCGACAAGCUCAGGUCACACUACCAUGUGCAUUUGCUUGAUGAUUAUAAGGAGCUUUGGUCGAAUACGAGCGAGUGGUACAACAAGACGACAGCAAUCAAUAAUGGGAAGGACGUGCCGUUCGAUGCGUACAUGAAGGUGAUUGUGGACACUGAGGUAUUCUACAGAUCAAAGGCAAAGGUUGAAACGUUUAACAACCUGACGAGAGAUUGCAAAGAUGGAAUCAACACGUGCAAUUUGUGA
rnacentral:rRNA from 1 species